UACGUAGGGGGCAAGCGUUGUUCGGAGUUACUGGGCGUAAAGGGUGCGUAGGCGGCCUUAUAAGUAUGGUGUGAAAUCUCCCGGCUUAACUGGGAGGGUGCGCUAUAGACUGUGGGGCUAGAGUGUGGGAGAGGAAAGUGGAAUUCCUGGUGUAGCGGUGAAAUGCGUAGAUAUCAGGAGGAACACCGGUGGUGUAAACGGCUUUCUGGACCAUAACUGACGCUGAGGCACGAAAGCGUGGGUAGCAAACAGG
rnacentral:rRNA from 1 species